CCCAGUUUGCAGAGCUGACGCUCUGGUCUGGGGCGAUUCCUGGCCCCAAUCUUGGUUGUACUUAGCCUGUCUUCUCUCAACCCUUUGUCCUUCCAAAUUUACUUUUUAGAUAUUGUGGAUUCAGCCCAGCCAAAGGCCUAUUGUCGGUCAAGCAUUUUGAGGAUGGGAGAAGCUUCCAGAAGACAAGGCAAUAGAGCUCUUCGUGUUUCCUGGAAAACUCAUGAAUCUAGACGUGUGAGCUGUUUGGGGAAAAUGUGCACGGACUUUCCUGUCACUUCUCUCUCAUACAAUUUAAUGUUCUACGGUCAUGGGACAGGGAUGUAUUUCCAGCCAUAGCUAAUACGUCACCUGGGAUAGCAGUGUUCGCAGAGCAAGAAGACGACCUUGACUUGCUGCUUCAUGUAGUGGUGACCGGUCUGCCCAGGAACCUGUUAGAAAAGAAGAUGAGAUCUUCUAGGAUCCCGUCAUUAUCUCCUAAGAAGACAGUUUCUGGUCCCGAACAGAAAAAGACAACAGGUAAGUGAAAAAAGUGCUGGGGUUGAGCUCAAAUUAAAAAAAAAAAAAAAAAAAAAAAGACUUGGGGCGCCUGGGUGGCUGUCUGUUAAGCAUCUGACUUCAGCUCAGGUCAUGAUCUUGUGGUUUGUGGGUUCGAGCCCCGCGUCGGACUCUGUGCUGACAGCUCAGAGCCUGGGGACUGCUUCAGAUUCUGUGUCUGCCUCUCUCUCCGCCCCUCCACUGCCCCUCAUGCUCUGUCUCUC